rnacentral:misc_RNA from 1 species
GAUGAAGAACGUAGCGAAAUGCGAUAAGUAAUGUGAAUUGCAGAAUUCAGUGAAUCAUCGAAUCUUUGAACGCACAUUGCACCCGCCAGUAUUCUGGCGGGCAUGCCUGUUCGAGCGUCAUUUCAACCAUCAAGCCCCCGGCUUGUGUUGGGGACCUGCGGCUGCCGCAGGCCCUGAAAAGCAGUGGCGGGCUCGCUGUCACACCGAGCGUAGUAGCAUACAUCUCGCUCUGGGCGUGCUGCGGGUUCCGGCCGUUAAACCACCUUCAUAACCCAAGGUUGACCUCGGAUCAGGUAGGAAGACCCGCUGAACUUAAGCAUAUCAAUAAGCGGAGGA